GAUGAACGCUGGCGGCGUGCCUAAUACAUGCAAGUCGAGCGAACAGACGAGGAGCUUGCUCCUCUGACGUUAGCGGCGGACGGGUGAGUAACACGUGGAUAACCUACCUAUAAGACUGGGAUAACUUCGGGAAACCGGGGCUAAUACCGGAUAAUAUAUUGAACCGCAUGGUUCAAUAGUGAAAGACGGUUUUGCUGUCACUUAUAGAUGGAUCCGCGCUGCAUUAGCUAGUUGGUAAGGUAACGGCUUACCAAGGCAACGAUGCGUAGCCGACCUGAGAGGGUGAUCGGCCACACUGGAACUGAGACACGGUCCAGACUCCUACGGGAGGCAGCAGUAGGGAAUCUUCCGCAAUGGGCGAAAGCCUGACGGAGCAACGCCGCGUGAGUGAUGAAGGUCUUCGGAUCGUAAAACUCUGUUAUUAGGGAAGAACAAAUGUGUAAGUAACUAUGCACGUCUUGACGGUACCUAAUCAGAAAGCCACGGCUAACUACGUG
rnacentral:rRNA from 1 species